UUGGAGGGCAAGUCUGGUGCCAGCAGCCGCGGUAAUUCCAGCUCCGAUAGCGUAUAUUAAAGUUGUUGCAGUUAAAAGGCUCGUAGUUGAAUUUCGGGGUUAGUAGGUUGGUCAUGCCUCUGGUAUGUACUGGUCUCACUGAUUCCUCCUUCCUUAUGAACCGUAAUGCCAUUAAUUUGGUGUUGCGGGGAAUUUGGACUGUUACUUUGAAAAAAUUAGAGUGUUUAAAGCAAGCUAACGCUUGAAUACAUUAGCAUGGAAUAAUGAAAUAGGACGUUCGAUCUUAUUUUGUUGGUUUCUAGGAUUGACGUAAUGAUUAAUAGGGAUAGUUGGGGGCAUUAGUAUUCAAUUGUCAGAGGUGAAAUUCUUGGAUUUAUUGAAGACUAACUACUGCGAAAGCAUUUGCCAAGGAUGUUUUCAUUAAUCAAGAACGAAAGUUAGGGGAUCGAAGACGAUCAGAUACCGUCGUAGUCUUAACCAUAAACUAUGCCGACUAGGGAUCGGAUGAUGUUAAUUUUUUAAUGACUCAUUCGGCACCUUACGGGAAAC
rnacentral:rRNA from 1 species